GAUCCACAACCCACUUAAAAUUUUUAACACCAAUAAUAUCGAUUAGCUCUACAUCAAUGAAAGAUUUAGUUAGACUAAACUGCUCAACUUCAUCCACACAUUGAAUAAGUUCAUUAAGUGGUGUGAUCAGUUCUUGUGUCAGGUUUUUGUGGUCCUUACUGAUAGGUUCAACCUCAAAACUAUUGGGUUCGCUCUCCGUUUUCCACAACUCACCAUUAUGUCUCUCACUAAUGGUCUCUACCUCCCAUAUUGGUUCCGGUUGCGC
rnacentral:lncRNA from 1 species